rnacentral:rRNA from 1 species
CCUACGGGAGGCAGCAGUGGGGAAUAUUGCACAAUGGGGGGAACCCUGAUGCAGCGACGCCGCGUGAGUGAAGAAGUCAUUCGUGAUGUAAAGCUCUAUCAGCAGGGAAGAAAAUGACGGUACCUGACUAAGAAGCCCCGGCUAACUACGUGCCAGCAGCCGCGGUAAUACGUAGGGGGCAAGCGUUAUCCGGAUUUACUGGGUGUAAAGGGAGCGUAGACGGCAGCGCAAGUCCGAAGUGAAAGCCCGGGGCCCAACCCCGGGACUGCUUUGGAAACUGUGAAGCUGGAGUGCGGGAGGGGCAGGCGGAAUUCCUGGUGUAGCGGUGAAAUGCGUAGAUAUCAGGAGGAACACCGGCGGCGAAGGCGGCCUGCUGGACCGUAACUGACGUUGAGGCUCGAAAGCGUGGGGAGCAAACAGGAUUAGAUACCCCAGUAG